CCCGCACAAGCAGUGGAGUAUGUGGUUUAAUUCGAAGCAACGCGAAGAACCUUACCAGGGCUUGACAUCCCUUGAAGCAGCUAGAGAUAGCUGUGUCCUUCGGGACAAGGAGACAGGUGGUGCAUGGUUGUCGUCAGCUCGUGUCGUGAGAUGUUGGGUUAAGUCCCGCAACGAGCGCAACCCCUGCCCUUAGUUGCCAUCGGGUCACGCCGGGAACUCUAAGGGGACCGCCCCGGACAACGGGGAGGAAGGUGGGGAUGACGUCAAGUCAGCAUGGCCUUUAUGUCCAGGGCUACACACACGCUACAAUGGCCAGCACAGUAGGUUGCUAAGCCGCGAGGUGGAGCCAAUCCAUAAAGCUGGUCUCAGUUCAGAUUGCAGGCUGCAACCCGCCUGCAUGAAGAUGGAGUUGCUAGUAACCGCAGGUCAGCUAUACUGCGGUGAAUACGUUCCCGGGGCUU
rnacentral:rRNA from 1 species